UAUCUGAUUCUCUUUAAUCUCUUAUAAGUUACUUGAAUCCAUGAUUUUAUUUUAAUCCUUCACCAUCUAGAUUCAAAGACCUGCUCAAAACAAGGAUCCCUUUUAGGAGCUAACUGGUUUUGAUGUCACCAGGAGCAUCCAAAACUUCAGAUUCGCUGAUGCCCCUGUUUCAAUCAGAUUCAUAGAGCAAACAGGUUUCAUAAUUUCGACCAGCUAUUGUCACUGGCUAACACAAACACUGAAUUGCCAGUUAGACACUUCAUUACCUGACCUAUAAUUUAUUUCAUCCUCUAAAAUCUGCCAUUAAUCCUUAUGUUCCUCUGCAGAUAUCAUUGGGGGAGGUGCGGGGCAUAAGGACCACUUAGACCGAGAAACCCAAUCCACUCAGACGCCUCAUGGCUGAAGCCUGAACUCAUUACUUGCUUCACAUAGAUCCCCUUAGCGGUUUGGUUGUUGCCGUCUGACCUUACGUCGUUUACAUGACAUCUAGCUUACAUCUUCAGGGACGGACCCGCAUGCAUAAGUGUAUUCGACAACCUUGCGGAGCUCCUCGAUGAGGAAUUAGUAAUGUCAGGUGUGGAACCAAAGGUUUCUGUAGCCACCAAUAUCAACCCUAAAUUAGUUGGAGAGUUGGUCACCACAAGGUUGGUCUCGGUAGGAAGGUUCAUCCUCAACGUCUACAAAAUAUGGUGAUGUUAAGAAGAUCGAAACGUUAACACUGUCUGAGCUAAAUGCUUAUAUCACAUCUCCCUACAGGUGACCACUUUCACGUAACCCAUCUGUUAGUGCGUUUCUUGACC